CUUUCAUACAGAGAUGACCAGAGAAUGGAGAUGGCAGGAGGCAGUGCAAAGCAGUGCAAGAAGACCAGGCUCUAGGGGCCGGUUGGAGAGUCUGAAUCUUAACUCUGGCACCUACCUGUCAGUUGAGCAGCCUGAGGGAGAUGAUCUGUCAACAUUUAACGCUACACACAGACAAAUCUUCACCUGCAAUUUCAUUCUCAAAUGACUUCAUACUAAUGAGGUGAGAGAUGACAUGCAUUGAUUUCC
rnacentral:lncRNA from 1 species